UCCCUUAGAUGUUCUGGGCCGCACGCGUGCUACACUGAGUGGAUCAGCGGGUCAGGUUGCGCGAAAGCGUUUCCUAAUCUUUAAAUCCGCUCGUGAUGGGGAUUGACGGUUACAAUUUUCUGUCAUGAACGAGGAAUACCUUGUAAGCGCGGGUCAUCAUCCCGCGCUGAAUACGUCCCUGCCCUUUGUACACACCGCCCGUCGCUCCUACCGAUUGAGUGGUCCGGUGAGGCUUUGGGAUCUGAGCGGAAAGAGCGUUUCGCUGUUUCUGCUCGGAAAACUCAGUCGAACCUUAUCAUUUAGAGGAAGGAGAAGUCGUAACA
rnacentral:rRNA from 1 species